rnacentral:rRNA from 1 species
UACAGAGGUCUCAAGCGUUGUUCGGAUUCAUUGGGCGUAAAGGGUGUGUAGGUGGCGCCGUAAGUCGGGUGUGAAAUUUCGGAGCUUAACUCCGAAACUGCAUUCGAUACUGCGGUGCUUGAGGACUGGAGAGGAGACUGGAAUUUAUGGUGUAGCAGGUGAAAUGCGUAGAGAUCAUGAAGGAAGACCAGUGGCGAAGGCGGGUCUCUGGACAGUUCCUGACGCUGAGACAGAAGGCCAGGGGAGCAAACGGG